ensembl:lncRNA
CUGUUUACAAGUGAAAACAGUCAAAAACGGUUCUAAAAAAAUAUGCUGGUGGAUUUUGAUGUAAGAGGAGAACAGGUGACUCUUAUUAUGUAAUAUGAACUAUUUUCAUCAGAAGCAGUGGUUUAAAGUUGAUGAUAGAUUUCUAUCUUACAAACACACAGCUUUUCACUUCACAAGAUGUUAAUUGAUGGACUGAAGUUGUUUGGAUUACUUGAUUCUUGUGAAUUUUUUAUCAGCUGUUUGGACUCUAAUUCUGAUGGCACCCAUUCACCACAGAGGAUCCAUUGGUUAGCAAGUGAUGUAAUGCUACAUUUCUUCAAAUCUGUUCCAGUGAAGAAGAAGAAAAAACUCAUCUACAUCUUGGAUAGCCAGAGGCUGACCACAGACCUACCUAAAGCUCACUGGGAGUGCCUGGACCAAAAAAAAAAACUUUAAUAAGUCAAACAGUGAGCUGGAAAUUAACUGCAGCGCAAUUUGAAUACAGCCAAAAUUCUCCGAGAAAGAUGCGAAUCUACUUGCGUGCUCCACUUCUUGACAGAUGGGAAAAUGCUGCAUAAUGGUGAGAGAAUAUUAACAUCAUCGUUAUAAUCAAAUUAAUAAUUAUGAUGUCUCUUUUGUGAUCACAUAUUUCUUUAUUUUGACUGUGAGUACUGAUCUGACUCAAGCCGUAAAUCAGUCCGGUUUUCACUCCCAUGUCUUUAAUGGACCAUUUAAUAAUACG